CUUGCUCACUUGCUGAUAAAAUACUGCUUUAGACAAGAUGGGUAAGAAAUUGGAGGGAUUUCUAAGGGAUGUUUUUCUACCCUGCUGGUUAUUUUUUGUAAUCCUGUUUGCAGCUAUAUCCUUGGGGUGUGAUUUGGACCUCGGUAAAACAGAAGCUGCAGUCAGUAAAUGCCUUGGAUCAUGUUCAGUUACUAAAGAUGGCGAAAGAGUUCUUCUGCGAUUCCUGAGG